rnacentral:rRNA from 1 species
AAUGGGCGAAAGCCUGAUCCAGCAAUGCCGCGUGAGUGAUGAAGGCCUUAGGGUUGUAAAGCUCUUUUACCAGGGAUGAUAAUGACAGUACCUGGAGAAUAAGCUCCGGCUAACUCCGUGCCAGCAGCCGCGGUAAUACGGAGGGAGCUAGCGUUGUUCGGAAUUACUGGGCGUAAAGCGCACGUAGGCGGCUAUUCAAGUCGGGGGUGAAAGCCCGGGGCUCAACCCCGGAACUGCCCUCGAAACUAGGUAGCUAGAAUCUUGGAGAGGCGAGUGGAAUUCCGAGUGUAGAGGUGAAAUUCGUAGAUAUUCGGAAGAACACCAGUGGCGAAGGCGACUCGCUGGACAAGUAUUGACGCUGAGGUGCGAAAGCGUGGGGAGCAAA